CUGGACAUGGCUAUUGUUUCACACAGAGCUUGGCAGGCUCUCUGUGAGUCCAGUAACUGAAAGCUUAAGGACAAUGAAUCGGCUUUGCAUUCUUUUGGGUUUAUGUAUUGCAUUUCCUCCUUCAUCAGAGUGAUCAUGCUAAGAAGGUUUGCCUCCUUUCAUGCUCAGCCCAUUCCCACCCUUCUCUUUCUGCCUCCUCACAUGUUCUUUCGUCCUCUGUUUUCCCCAGACCAGGAUCCUGCAGCAUAAACAAAAAGAAGAGCUCUGGAUGUGAAGGCGUGACAAGGUUCAUUUUCUCCAAGUCUUUUCGGCCGUGUCCCUCUUGGCUCCUUCCCUCAAAGCCAUUGCUGCCCAUCCGGAAGAGCUCUCCUAACAGUAAUAGAAUGGACAGCGUGGAAGACAAGAACAAAGAAACUGGCACUGGCUAUGAUAAUGUCAGUAGAAAAAAACAGGAGCAGAGUUCAGAAGGAAAAAGUUCUAAGACUUCCUUGCUCUAUGCCAGUAGUAGGGAUAUGAAGAAGGGGUCAUUGAGACCACCUCUGAUCCCCCCCAUACGCAAGGCAGUGAGUCCCCCUAUUGGAAGUACUGCGGGGUCUCUGCAAAGCUCUCCACAGCU